AGAGCCUAUCAUACAGUCUAACAUGGAUAGAGCUGAUACAUUUUACCUCUAUGAGUAUUUCUCCUAUCCGGAUAAAAGAACAUGUCAAAUCAAUGUUUGAGAUGAACGUGAAUCUCCAAGCAGGGCAAUGAGGGAACUGACCAAUCGUAGCCUAGACUUUUGUUCAAAGAUAAAGACACUUCAGCAGGAAUCAUGAGCUUCAGGACCAAAUCACAGACCUACAAAAGCAGAGGCU